GUCAGGAGUUAGGAAAUGCAGGAGUGUUAAUAGCGCUUUUGCUUGACUAAGGCUCCAGAGGAAGCCACGGCUAACUCUGUGCCCGCAGCCGCGGUAAUACAGAGGCGGCAAGCGUUGUUCGGAAUUAUUGGGCGUAAAGAGCACGUAGGCGGCCUUGUCAGUCAGUUGUGAAAGCCUUCCGCUCAACGGAAGAAUGCCGGCUGAUACUACAGGGCUUGAGUACGGGAGGGGAGAGUGGAACUUCUGGU
rnacentral:rRNA from 1 species